CCUACGGGUGGCAGCAGUGAGGAAUAUUGGUCAAUGGUCGGGAGACUGAACCAGCCAAGCCGCGUGAGGGAUGAAGGUACAGAGUAUCGUAAACCUCUUUUGUCAGGGAACAAAGGCGGGGACGUGUCCCCGGAUGAGUGUACCUGAAGAAAAAGCAUCGGCUAACUCGGUGCCAGCAGCCGCGGUAAUACGGAGGAUGAGAGCUGUAUCGGGAUUUAUUGGUGGUAAAGGGUGCGCAGGCGGUCUGUUAGGUCAGCGGUCAAAGCCCGGGGCUCAACCGCGGCCCGCCGUUGAAACUGGCAGUCUCGAGUUGGAGAGAAGUAUGCGGAAUGCGCGGUGUAGCGGUGAAAUGCAUAGAGAUCGCGCAGAACUCCGAUUGCGAAGGCAGCAUGCCGGCUCCACACUGACGCUGAGGCACGAAAGCGUGGGUAUCGAACAGGAUUAGAUACCCCGGUAGUC
rnacentral:rRNA from 1 species